CCUACGGGCGGCAGCAGUGAGGAAUAUUGGUCAAUGGGCGCGACCCUGAACCAGCCAAGUAGCGUGAAGGAUGACUGCCCUACGGGUUGUAAACUUCUUUUAUAAAGGAGUAAAGUGAGGCACUUGUACCUUUGUGUAUGUACUUUAUGAAUAAGGAUCGGCUAACUCCGUUCCAGCAGCCGCGGUAAUACGGAGGAUCCGAGCGUUAUUCGGAUUUGUUGGGUUUAAAGGGAGCGUAGAUGGGUUGUUAAGUCAGUUGUGAAAGUUUCGGGCUCAACCGUAAAAUUGCAAUUGAUACUGGCAGUCUUGAGUACAGUUGAGGUAGGCGGAAUUCGUGGUGUAGCGGUGAAAUGCGUAGAUAUCACGAAGAACUCCGAUGGCGAAGGCAGCUUACUAAAC
rnacentral:rRNA from 1 species